GGCUAAACGAGGGCUUAACUGUCUCCCCUUUCAAGUCAGUGAAAUUGAUCUAUCCGUGCAGAAGCGGGUAUAACCAUACAAGACGAGAAGACCCUUUGGAGCUUAAGGUACAAAAUUCAACCACGUUAAGCAACUUAAUAAAAAGCAAAAACUUAGUGGAAAAUGAAGUUUUACCUUCGGUUGGGGCGACCGCGGAGGAAAAACAAGCCUCCGAGUGGAAUGGGCUAAAUCCCUAAAACCAAGAGAAACAUCUCUAAGCCACAGAACAUCUGACCAAAAAUGAUCCGGCUAAUAAGGCCGAUCAACGA
rnacentral:rRNA from 1 species